rnacentral:sRNA from 19 species
UGAUACCAGGGGCAAAAAUUUCAAAUGAUGUUCGUGCUUGCACGAUAAAGCAUUUGAAUUUGGGGACCUCCAAACAUGAGGAAGUAGCGAUUUACAUAGUAAAUCAGCGGAUUCCGAAUGUUUGAAGGAUUGUGGGAGCAGUUUACUGCGGAACAAUCCGUAAGUAUCA